GAAAACCCUGAUUAUGACUCCUAUUAAAACCCUGAAAACCCUGAUUAUGACUCCUAUUAAAACCCUGAAAACCCUGAUUUUGACUCAUAUUCAAACCAUUAUUAUGACUCCUAUUAAAACCAUGAUUAUGACUCCUAUUAAAACCAUAAUUAUGACUCUCAUUAAAACCCUGAAAACCCUUAUUAUGACUCCUAUUAAAACCAUGAUUAUGACUCCUAUUAAAACCCUGAAAACCCUGAUUUUGACUCAUAUUAAAACCAUGAUUACGACUCCUGUUAAAGCCAUGAUUAUGACUCCUGUUAAAACCAUGAUUAUGACUCCUGUUAAAGCCAUGAUUAUGACUCCUGUUAAAGCCAUGAUUAUGACUCCUGUUAAAACCAUGAUUAUGACUCCUAUUUUUGUCAACUUUUACUUUUACUUUCCUGAAGAAAACAGUACAUUUUUAAUCCGUACAUUUUCCCGGACACCCACAAUAACCUGUUACAUUUGGACAGGAAAAGGGUCCAACCCAUGCACUUAUCAAGAGAACAUCCCUGGUCGUCCCUCCCUCUACACUUGUUAAACACAUUUUGACAUUUGGGUAUUUGGCUUGCUUGUUUGACAUCAAAGCUGUAUGUAUUAUAAUCUUCAACGUCUCAUCUUUCAAAAUACAUAGAGUUAUCUUAAUUUACAGGAUUUUUCCUCACUCAGACAAUAAAACGUUUGCAAAAGUUGCACAAUUAGCUGGAGGGAUGGGGGCAACUUUCUGUCGAGUGAGGUGCUCCAGUUCAGAGCGUCUGUCAGUCAAAACCCAAACAGAGAUGUGAAGCACUGAGCCUGAGAUCUGAAGGUAUCUAUAGCAUGCUACUGUACAGAAACUAUUGUUUUCUAUAGCAUGCUACUGUACAGACAAUAAUGUCAUCUAUAGCAUGUUACUGUACAGAUACUAAUGUUAUCUAUAGCAUGCUACUGUACAGACACUAAUGUUAUCUAUAGCAUGCUACUGUACAGACACUAAUGUUAUCUAUAGCAUGCUACUGUACAGACAAUAAUGUUUCCAAUAGCAUGUUACUGUACAGACACUAAUGUUAUCUAUAGCAUGCUACUGUACAGACACUAAUGUUAUCUAUAGCAUGCUACUGUACAGACACUAAUGUUAUCUAUAGCAUGCUACUGUACAGACACUAAUGUUAUCUAUAGCAUGCUACUGUACAGACACUAAUGUUUUCUAUAGCAUGUUACUGUACAGAC
rnacentral:lncRNA from 13 species